UACGUAGGGUGCAAGCGUUAUUCGGAAUUACUGGGCGUAAAGCGUGCGCAGGCGGUUUUGUAAGUCAGAUGUGAAAUCCCCGGGCUUAACCUGGGAACUGCGUUUGAAACUACAAGGCUAGAGUGCGGCAGAGGGGGGUGGAAUUCCACGUGUAGCAGUGAAAUGCGUAGAUAUCUGGAGGAACACCGGUGGCGAAGGCGGCAACCUGGACCGGCAUUGACGCUGAGGAGCGAAAGCCAGGGGAGCAAACGGG
rnacentral:rRNA from 1 species